rnacentral:rRNA from 1 species
GACGAACGCUGGCGGCGUGCCUAAUACAUGCAAGUUGAGCGCUGAAGGUUGGUACUUGUACCAACUGGAUGAGCAGCGAACGGGUGAGUAACGCGUGGGGAAUCUGCCUUUGAGCGGGGGACAACAUUUGGAAACGAAUGCUAAUACCGCAUAAAAACUUUAAACACAAGUUUUAAGUUUGAAAGAUGCAAUUGCAUCACUCAAAGAUGAUCCCGCGUUGUAUUAGCUAGUUGGUGAGGUAAAGGCUCACCAAGGCGAUGAUACAUAGCCGAACUGAGAGGGGGAUCGGCCACAAUGGGACCGAGACACGGCCCAAACGCCUACGGGAGGCAGCAGGAGGGAAUCUUCGGCAAUGGACGAAAGUCUGACCGAGCAACGCCGCGGGAGGGAAGAAGGGUUUCGGAUCGUAAAACUCUGUUGGUAGAGAAGAACGUUGGUGAGAGUGGAAAGCUCAUCAAGUGACGGUAACUACCCAGAAAGGGACGGCUAACUACGUG